CUAAAUAUCUAACCCUACCCCACCAAAACCACCCCCCAACCGCCCAAGUUCAGUCAAACACUCUUAACUCACGUUGAUUUUCAGCCCACACACAACUCACACACACUAACACCUAAAACACACACACCAUUCACGCAUAUACCAUUUUUUAGCUUGAGCUCAAGCUUUUGAGCUCCGAUUUGAGCACCGAGAUGAACGCCGAUCAUCUUUUCGAUCACGUAUCUAAGUAGGUCCUUUUGGGAAGUAACGACUUGAGGGAGAGAGUGACGUUACUCAUUGAUACAGAGACACAACGAGGUUGAGCUGAUGUGAUGAUGGUGCUGCAAUGAGCGGAGUCUCCAGGGUUGUUAAUAAAUAGUUAACCUGUCUAGAAUAUGUCUUCAUACAUAUGUCUAGCUACUUUCCGCUGCAAGAUGUUGUUGAUGUUAUAGUAUGUUAUGUCAUACUUUGAGUCUUAAGAGAAUGGUUUCAUAUGAUGUAUAACUUGAUUAAUGAUAUUAAUUAAGUUUUAUGUUGUCUUUCA